rnacentral:snRNA from 15 species
AUACUUACCUGAGUCGGAGGUGCCGGUGAUCAAGAAGGCCGGUUCUCCAUGGAUGGGUUUGGCCAUUGCACACACGUUGCUCUCUUGCAACCCUCUCUUCCUCUGUCGCCAACACUACUGUAGCUUCUGUAGUUUCUUUGGUUUUAUAUCAAUAGAAAG